UACGUAGGGUGCGAGCGUUGUCCGGAAUUAUUGGGCGUAAAGAGCUCGUAGGCGGUUUGUCACGUCUGCUGUGAAAUCCCGAGGCUCAACCUCGGGCCUGCAGUGGGUACGGGCAGACUGGAGUGCGGUAGGGGAGAAUGGAAUUCCUGGUGUAGCGGUGGAAUGCGCAGAUAUCAGGAGGAAUACCGAUGGCGAAGGCAGUUCUCUGGGCCGUAACUGACGCUGAGGAGCGAAAGCGUGGGGAGCGAACAGG
rnacentral:rRNA from 1 species